UACGGAGGGUGCAAGCGUUAUCCGGAUUCACUGGGUUUAAAGGGUGCGUAGGUGGGAAUGUAAGUCAGUGGUGAAAUCUCCGUGCUUAACAUGGAAACUGCCAUUGAUACUAUGUUUCUUGAAUUUUCUGGAGGUAAGCGGAAUAUGUCAUGUAGCGGUGAAAUGCUUAGAUAUGACAUAGAACAUCAAUUGCGAAGGCAGCUGGCUACACAAAUAUUGACACUGAUGCACGAAAGCGUGGGGAGUCAAACAGGA
rnacentral:rRNA from 1 species